CCAAAAACAUUUUUUCGGCUACUUUUAUUGGACCCAAGAUCAAUAUAGACUGUCCAUGAUGUAUAACUAUGAUAGUUUCACAGCCUAAAGAAUGUUUGCAAGCCAUUAUGUAUAUGUAGAGAGGCAAACUGCAUUUUUAACAUUAACGUCUGAGUGUACCAUAAAUCGCUAAUGCUAUUGUGACGCAAUCUCUGAUGAAUCGAAGAACCCAUACUCUGGUUGCAGUUUCUUGCAUUAUCAGUGUUUUUACCAAAUCUUCUUUAAAUAUGAUCGGAAAAAUCCAAGAUGUAACAAAGACAAAUGGCAGCAUGGAAGUGAAAGAAAAUGGCCGAAUGAAAAAUUAUAGGAGGCAAUCAGGGAGAAGCUGCGUGGACAGGUGGAUGAGCGCAACGAAACCACAGACUUUCUUAUCAAAGGUGACAAACGACGCGUUACUUGCACUUUACAGGAUAGCCAAAGUUCACUCAGGUGGAGACGCGCGACUUUAACACCUGUGCAGCUGGUGGACGUCUUGCCAUUGGCUGUUGGUUCACAAUGGAAGGUCCGCAGCCUGGGCACGCCAGCCCGAUCCUUUAAUCUUUUACCACCUGUGAUGGAGCGAUGCCUGCAGGAGCUGGGAAGCAACACUGCGUAUCUUGAAAUGAACGAAGUUAGCUGCAACCAACAAGGGCCCAACCUUACAACAGCCCCAACUCCCAGCAUGCGGGCCGCUCCUCGCUGGCUGGCGUCUCCUUGGGCAAUAUUGAUCAACAAACAAGGCUGACCUUGCAAGCCGUUCUGGGUCAUCACGAGGAACAGUCGCCGCCCACCCAAUUCACCAGCCUGAAGCCACAGGAUGUCUCGCAAAUUUCGCAUCUCGCCUUCGAAGAUUACCAAAACUGAACUAUAGCACAGUACCGAGUGGCCCGUUGGUGUGCACCUCCACGUGAGUGAAAACUGGCGCGAGCACUCCAAUACAUACCCACGGUGUGACGCUGGUGGUUGUGUAAAUUUUAUUUCACUUUAGUUUAGUUACGGAUAAAAGAGUUUUUUAAGUAAUGUUAUAUUUCUGUUUUUUGUAAGUAACAAUACGACACACGUGGGGGAAGUGUAGCAAUUACGAUCGUGCAACCGACUUGAAUUCAGCUUAAAACUCUAGGGUAAAGGGAUUCCUUGAAGGAUUGCAUUGGCAAGAAUAUAUGAUGACACAUCACGAACUCAGAGGACCCGAAAGUAUUCCUCAUAAAACCCAUGUCAGAGGUAAAAAAAAAAAAAAAAAAGAAAAAGAAAAAAAAGAAAAAGAAAAAGAAAAAAAAAUUUAUUCAGAUCAUCGUAAAGGCCACGAAUCUUUUUCAUACUAAAAAUAAGAAAGAAAGCCUGGAAUAGUUGCACUGUUCCUCAUCAACAUCAUUCAAGAGCUUUCGUUUUACAUCUUGGAGGGAGAGAAACUAAGAACCGAAGACUUUACAAGAUAAAGAAGUUAUGUUCUGCAACAGGGAACGAGACACAAGGCUGUAUCGGCCCAAAGCUCUUUGGCAAGACAGUAAAGGCGGGUUCCUGAAGUCACGAGUUGACCACUGGUUAGUCCUGCACAAGACAUGUCAAGGCAACAAUAGAGUGAAUUUGAAGGUAUUAUUAGGUGGUGACUGAUGACUGGUGAGUGGUGUAUGAACACACACACACACACACACACGUAAAAAUAUUACACACACAUAUACAAAAUUAUAACACUUACUAUUAUCUUAAAGACAAGGAGACGAACGUAGAUGAAAACAUUUUGAAAGGAAAUGAGAACGCUGCUGGAUCCACUGUGUGUGUGUGUGUGUGUGUGUGUGUGUGUGUGUGGUUAAAAAAAAAAAAGAUAACUAGUUGAUAUCGAGUUGAAAAUAAAAACUCCCACAAAGUUCUUGAAUAUUUGCAAACAUUUAGUGGCAGAGUGCACGUUAACAGCCCAACACCACGGCGCAAACUCUGUCACAUAAAGCUCACCAUAUCUAUUUGUAUGGUCAUCCUUUGAGAUCAGUACGAGUAUUUGUCAGCUCCACGGCAGCGACGUCCUGGGAAGGCUUUGCUGCAUGAGUGUGUCACCUGCAAAGUGGCCCACAAAGCCAUGCUUAUUGGUUCAUCUUGUCACAUGUUGGAGAUACAUAAGGCAACUUUUAAGCGAAGGUUUCGUCGACCAUUAUUGUGCUAUGUUGACCAAUUAUCAUCCACACGAACUUUGUGUAAAUAUACAGUCCAGCCACUGCAGGAAACCCGGAAACCUUGACCUCUUGUGAGGCUCACACCGACACCGCUCCUCACGCAGUUGCAGAUCAGAAUGUUAGUCUUGACGUAACCCGCUGCACCCGAUGCUUCCUGCCCACAACCAAUAUUCAGCUUCUCUUUUGUUGCAGUCUACGUCACCAUCCAUCAAAGAGAGAACGGUGGCCGGAGACGCAGUUUCGAAGUAUAUUUCUGUUUUUCUCUCUCCACACACACACACA